GACAGAGGAUGCAAGCGUUAUCCGGAAUGAUUGGGCGUAAAGCGAGCGCAGGCGGUUUUUUAAGUCUGAUGUGAAAGCCUUCGGCUUAACCGAAGAAGUGCAUCGGAAACUGGGAAACUUGAGUGCAGAAGAGGACAGUGGAACUCCAUGUGUAGCGGUGAAAUGCGUAGAUAUAUGGAAGAACACCAGUGGCGAAGGCGGCUGUCUGGUCUGUAACUGACGCUGAGGCUCGAAAGCAUGGGUAGCGAAC
rnacentral:rRNA from 1 species